UCCUGUUUUCCUUUUUUAAAUAUAAAAAUAGCCAGUGUUUUCCACCAUUUAAAGCCAGCCAUAACACAGGGGCGUAGUGUAGCUGAUUUCUAGUUGCUGAUAGAAAAUGAAAGUUUUCAAUGAUUUGACAAAGGCAGACCAUGGUUUCCAAACAGUAGUAAAUGUUUUCAGCAGCAUGUGAGAUUUAGUAAAACCUCCAAAUGCUGACAAAAAGUAUACAAGGUUACUAUGAUGGCUCAGGACAGGCAUGGGGCAACAUCUUUGAUUAAGUUCACACACUUAGGGCUCCAUACUGCAACGUCAUGGGAAGGAUUGCUUGUGCUGUAAUAGGCUGAGGUUGACUACCUGGUAGUUCACUUCCACUAGCCUGGCUGGAGGUAAGAGGAAAUUCAUCUGGCUCAGUCUCAUUUAUUUGUUUUUUCUCCAACUGGACAAGCACCUCCAGAGGCUG